GCUCCGGUGGCCUAGUGGUUAGAGCGUCCGCUCCGGAUGCUGGAGGUCGUGGGUUAGAUCCCCGGCCAAAGACU